UUCAUGUUAAGAUUAUGUACACUUUGCAUUUUGGAAGUGUUGAAGAGGAAAAGAUCAUAUUUAUUUUAAUAAAAUAAUCUUAGUGCCUGUAUAUUCAGACAUUUUAUAAACUCAAUUAAGAUAAUAGUAACAACUUCAAAACUGUUAUAAUAGCAAAGAAACUGCUACAAAUAUAACACAAAGAAAGCCAUUAAGUUUAAUCAAUCAGUUUUUUGUGAAUAUUGAUAUAUAGAUAUUAUACAUGUAACUUGUUAUGGUAAUUUCAUGAGUUAUAUAUUAGUGUAAAUCAAACAGACGC
rnacentral:lncRNA from 1 species